UCUCAAAUCAGGUGGGACUACCCGCUGAACUUAAGCAUAUCAAUAAGCGGAGGAAAAGAAACUAACAAGGAUUCCCCUAGUAACGGCGAGUGAAGCGGGAAGAGCUCAAAUUUAAAAUCUGACGGUGUAUUCCGUCCGAGUUGUAGCCUAGAGAAGCAUCAUCCGCGCUGGACCAUGUACAAGUCUCUUGGAACAGAGCGUCAUAGAGGGUGAGAAUCCCGUCCUUGACAUGGACUCCCAGUGCUUUGUGUUGUGCUCUCGACGAGUCGAGUUGUUUGGGAAUGCAGCUCAAAAUGGGUGGUAAAUUCCAUCUAAAGCUAAAUAUUGGCGAGAGACCGAUAGCGAACAAGUACCGUGAGGGAAAGAUGAAAAGCACUUUGGAGAGAGAGUUAAACAGUACGUGAAAUUGUUGAAAUGGAAACGCUUGAAGUCAGUCGCGUUCUCUGGGAUUCAGCCUUGCUUCUGCUUGGUGCAUUUCCUAGUCUACGGGCCAGCAUGAAUCUUGACCGGUGGAAAAAGGCUUGGGGAAUGUGGCACCUCCGGGUGUGUUAUAGCCCCUUGUCACACGCGUCGGUCGGGAUCGAGGACCUCAGUGCACGCUUCGGUUGUGCUUUGAUGCUGGCGUAAU
rnacentral:rRNA from 1 species